GAUUAUUACUACGAAAGUUAUAAAAACAUGUCAUUUAAAAGACAUGAAUUAUUUUAGAUGUUCAUUAGUAAUCCGAGCGAGUAAAAAUGAUGUCAGUAGUGUAGAAAAACAAUAAUUUUAUUUAGUUGUAUUUCCAUUUCAUUGGAAACUUUUAAGCCUUAUUCAUUUUCUUGAAGGAAAAAUGAUUGUGCUGAUAUUUGCUAAAAGAUACAAACAAAUUUACUGAAGAAACAUAAGAACUGAGACAGUCAUCGAAUUAACAAGAUGCAAACCUCUUCGUGCAAAUUCAACUCAAAAAGUAAACCCAUAACAUCAAAUGCACGUCAACAAACUUCAUCAAUGGGGAAAGUAAAAGUAAAAAGCGUCACAUUUGUCACCUCGACCGAAAAGAAAUUCAAGUUAAAGUGAGAAAGACUUCCAUCAACGUUAAACUAAUAUAGCUAACGAGAGAUCUGCCGUGUUACGUUGAGACAUUUCAAAGAUGCUUUCGGAAAUAACGAUCCAGCAUGCAGGAAUCAACAACAAGACGAAAAAAAAUAAUUGAAACAAAAAAAGAAAGUUGAAGUAAAGCAUAAAAAAGAUAUAAGAUAUAGAUAAAGUUAUUGAUAUAAUUAUAUUAGAAUUUAUGUGUAGAUUUAUUGUAAGUAAGUUAUAAUUUUUUACGUUUCACAUCAUAGAAAAACUAUAUAUGA